GGAGAAAAGCAGGGGAUCGCAAGACCUUGCGCUUUUGGAGCGGCCGAUGUCUGAUUAGCUAGUUGGUGAGGUAAAGGCUUACCAAGGCGUCGAUCAGUAGCUGGUCUGAGAGGACGACCAGCCACACUGGGACUGAGACACGGCCCAGACUCCUACGGGAGGCAGCAGUGGGGAAUUUUGGACAAUGGGGGAAACCCUGAUCCAGCCAUGCCGCGUGAGUGAAGAAGGCCUUCGGGUUGUAAAGCUCUUUCAGCCGGAACGAAACGGUCACGGUUAAUACCCGUGACUACUGACGGUACCGGAAGAAGAAGCACCGGCUAACUACGUGCCAGCAGCCGCGGUAAUACGUAGGGUGCGAGCGUUAAUCGGAAUUACUGGGCGUAAAGCGUGCGCAGGCGGUUUUGUAAGUCAGAUGUGAAAUCCCCGGGCUUAACCUGGGAACUGCGUUUGAAACUACAAGGCUAG
rnacentral:rRNA from 1 species